CUCCUAUAAAAUCCUCUCUAGCCUCCCAACCGAAAAUCACCUACACACCAACAUGUUCUUCAUUUGUUCUUUAUGUUCAUCCUUUUGUUCAUAAAAAAACCAAGCUUUGAUCCAAAAUACAAAAUUCACCCGAAAUUAGUUUUUAGUAGAUCAAACACAGAUAUUUCCUAAGAAAUAUAAAAUAUUCAUCUUCCAAAAACAAUUUGAUCUUCCAACAACACCCAAAAACCAUCCAAACUUGUUUUUCAAAGAUUAAACCCAACCUUUUCCCUUAAAAUAUCCAAGAACACAAAGAACACCCAAAUCUAAACCAAACUCUUUUAAACCCUUAAACUUAAAACACCACCCAAACACCCAGCAUCCAUUAAACCCGACACCGAAACAUCUUCCGGCCACCGGCCGACCACCAGCCACCCAAACCGCCAUUCGAAAUUCACCCAACCCAAGAUCUAUUCGAACUGAAAAUAAAGAAAAAAUAAGACUCGCCCAAAAAUGUUCUUUCCUCCGAAGAUGAAGCUUUAAUUUUUUCUAAUUCCGAUGAAGAUGGAGCACGGAGGUAGAGCGACAGUGAUACGGUGAUGGUACGAUGGUGGCUUGCUAAAGGAGAUGACCGGAGUGACACGUGAGUAACACACACCAACAACGCUCAGGUGAACCUUUCGGCCGGUAGUGACACCGGUGAUCCUUUAAAGAAUAUGAAGCAUGGCCAUUGGAUCCAUCUUUAAUCUAAUGGUUGAGAUUUAUUGUUAACUUCGCACUUGGAUUGAAUGAUGUGGCCUCAUGUGAGCCAUUGGAUCUAGUUUCUCAUCCAAGGGCUCCUAUGAAUUUGUGCUUCUUUCACAUGGAAUGAAGCAAAUAUGGCCCUUAAUCAAAGUUUAUCAAAGGUGGAGAUUUGUUUGUGUUUUUUA